AAUUCACACCAACACACACCUUUAGUGGACACAACACACCCAACACAUAACCAAAAUACUUUGUGUGUGCAAAUUGAAUACGCAUAAGGUGUACUAUGCAGAUUGUUAAGUUUCCACAAUGUUUUGUGUUCUAUUAACGUCAUAACCAAAAUACUUUAUCCUACUUUUUAUGUGCAUAUUGAAUACGCAUAAGGUUGGUAGCGGGGAAGAUGGUAUAUAUACGCUUUUCUAUGAAGACUUUUUGUUUGGACAUAUGAAGACUCCUUUUGGGGAUGAAGGUCCGAGUCUUCUUUUCUGGAUAUAUGCUUCUAUGAAGACUCCUUUUUUGGGAUGAAGUUUCGAGUCUUCUUUUUUCAUUUUAAUGAUGCUACCGAACUAUGAUGAACAUAUAUGGUAUGGUCUAUCUUUCAUGUUUUUGUCAUGGGAAUAUUGAUGCCUUAGAUCCUAUGGUUGAAUGGACAUUAAUUUGGUGUAGAAUACAUAGUUCUUGUGGUUAA